GACUCCGUCUCAAAAAAAAAAAAAAAAUUCAGAUUCUGGCUGCUUUUAAGUGCUAAUCCAGCACUCCCACUAAAGAGUCACAUGACUGUGCUUUUUAGAUGCACACACAUCCCUCAGCUUGCUGCAGUCCUCACCGCUCCCCAUUGUCUUGACACCCCACCUGACCCCACUUUUUGCUGUUCUUUGACCCUGGCCUGGAGAGUUUGCAUGGGGAUGUUGUACCAGAGGAACAUGGCUUUGGAAGUCAGACAGGCAUGGAACAGAAGGUGACUUAACCCUUUGCUACCUGUCUAUGAGGUACGUGGGUUAGCAGCCACCCCGCAACAAACACACACACACACACACACACACACACACACACACACACACACACACACACAUCAAGACUGCUGGAGAAGUCAGGAAAGCAAGACGAAGAAAGUUACUGGCAAAAAAAAAAAAAGUUAAGUACUGGUUCCAUCCUAGUUCUCCUCUCUUUUUAUAGCCAAAUAUCAUACGACGUGAAGAGAUGCCCCAAAUGACAGAUCAGCAUCCUCUCUCCCUCCUGUAGUUAAAACAAGUUGAUUUAGGAGGAGCCUCCCACCUCAUUGUGAAAAAACAGGUCGGGAGGGUGCAGUUACAGCUGAGCACCACUGGAGGGCAGGCUAGCCCACUGGCGAUUCAUGCGACAACUUCCUUCACUGUGGGACCCAGAAGGAAGUUAGGAGGUGAUGCUAGGGCCUGUUCCCACCUGGCCUAGUAGCUUGGGAUGUCCCCGCCUACCAGUGGCUCACCUGGAUGGCUUGGCCUUGACCUUUGCAGCCCUCCAGGUUGUUCCCGAACCCCUCCAAGCAUGAGGAGAAAGUCCUCCGGCCGAGUGCCAAGCACCCAUACCUCACACAGGGCCACCCUUACCGGGCCACGGUCAGGGCACACCUAGCAGCAAAUUGGCCCGUCUGCCUGGUCAUGGGGGAGAAAGUAGGCAGGAAGAGGAUCCAAGAAGUUUACCAGGCAAUCCUGGGCCCGAAAUUCUGUCUCCCUUUCCUGGGACAUGAUGCCAAGUUGACCUUGGCCUUCAGUGUGCCCAAGAUCACCUUCACACUACAGGGGUUGCAUUUCCUCCCCUCCUUGCCCAAGAAUGAAGGAUGAGUCCCUCAAAGCCUGGAAAUGGCUUGGCAGGGGAGCCAAGGCUGAGGAAGGAGCAGAGGGUACCAACCAGAGGCACCUGGCCAUGGGGGACAGGGGACCCCGGAGCUCAAGGACACUAUUUUCAUUUGCUGCAUAGCCAUUUUACUUUUCUCUUCUGCUUUUUCCCCCUUCAUAUCUGCCCAAAUUCUACACUCCAAGAAACUUUCAGCAGCUUCCCUGAAAUAAACCACAGUAUUGCCGGCACUGCAGAGCUGGCUGGGCCUACAUCAAGUUGGUGUGAAAUCGCCUUGUUCAUUUUAUUAAGAAACUUCCUGUCUUGCAAAACUUCCUCUCUUGCCACCUGCCUGCUUGGAGGUCUUAACUGGUUUUUCGUUUGUUUGCUUGUCUUGUUUUUGUUUUUGUUUUUGUUUUUGAGAUGGAGUCUCGCUCUGUCACCCAGGCUGGAGUGCAGUGCUGCAAUUUGGGCCCACUGCAACUCCACCUCCUGGGUUCAAGCAAUUCUCCCACCUCAGCCUCCCAAGUAGCUGGGAUUACAGAUGUUCGCCACCACGCCUGGCUAAUUUUUGUAUUUUUAGUACAGAUGGAGUUUCACUAUGUUGGUCAGGCUGGUCUGGAACUCCUGACCUCAAGUGAUCCACCUGCCUUGGCCUCCCAAAGUGCUGGGAUUACAGGCAUGAGCCACCAUACCCGGCCUGUUUUUCUAUCCAACACGGAUAGAGUAUAACCUCCCUGCCCCCUUCUUCCCCAAAGUAGGCUCAGUUUAAAUAUAUACAUGAAAACAAAUAAAAUUCAAAGAAAAGCAAGGUUAUGGGGUGUCAAGCAGGAUGAUCCAAUGGAAGCUCCCCAUCUCUGCGUGUGAGCCCUCGCACUGAGAAUGCGAUCAGGCUGAGAAGGAGAGCGAGGCCCAGAGGAUUGAGUGAUUUCACCCAGGGAGCCUCUGAGCAGCUGGGAUUCAAACUUAUGGCCAUGACUCCAUGCCUGAGGUUUGAUGCUGGAGUCAGCCACACCUGCCUCUAACCAGGAGAUCCUUGAGGGGAUCCCUCAAGGAUCCUGAUAUGUUUCCGUAUCAACCCCCUGUGGCAGAUGCUAUUUUCUAAAGACAGCCAUCACGCUACCUUCCAUCCCACAUGCUCUUCCUACUAUGUGACGGUGACACCCCUCUGUGACUACAACAGAAGUGACAUUAUGUGACUCCCAAGGCAAGGGCCUGAAACAGACGAUAACGCUUCCACUUGCUUCUGUGCAAAUGCUCACUCAUGGAACCCUGUGCCAUGCCACUAGGAAGCCAGGCUACAAGGAAUGGUCACACGUAGGUGUUCCAGCUGACAAUUCCAGCUGAGGUUCCAGUGUCCAGUGCCGGCCAUAUGUUCAAGAAAGCCUUCUAGACAAUUUCAGCCACCACCAUGAUCUGACUGCAACUGUAUGGGAAACGCUGCACAAGACCUGCCCUCGAUGAGCCCUGAGGACCCCGAGAGUGUGAGGGAUAAGUUUUGGGGUGAUCUGUGAUGCAACAUAAAUAACUGGAACACCCUCCCUCCCCCACCCCUCACACACCCCUGGCCCAGCCAGAUCCCUAAACAGCUGGAGCUCCUUCAAUGUGUCUUUCAUUCACAAGCACACUGAUGUGCACAGGCAAACCUGGGUAUUCUGAUUCGUUUUUCCAAACAGCUUGGACUGUGAAAAUAAACACCCCGAUGGCAGGUGUUGACACACAUACCCUGACAUGGGUCUAUUUCGGGGCCUGUAGGCCCUCCCACUGUGCACCGAGAGGCCUCCACCUGGGCAGGGAAAGACUUCGUUUAACAUUUUGCAGUCUUGUGUUGGGUGUAGAAUGAAGAUAAAGCACGUAGAAUCAA